GUUGAGUAGCGAACGGGUGAGUAACGCGUGGGUAACCUGCCUUAUAGCGGGGGAUAACUAUUGGAAACGAUAGCUAAUACCGCAUAACAAUAGAGAUUGCAUUAAUCUUUAUUUGAAAGUGCCAACUGGUACACUAUGAGAUGGACCCGCGUUGUAUUAGCUAGUUGGUAGUGUAAUGGACUACCAAGGCGAUGAUACAUAGCCGACCUGAGAGGGUGAUCGGCCACAUUGGGACUGAGACACGGCCCAAACUCCUACGGGAGGCAGCAGUAGGGAAUCUUCGGCAAUGGACGAAAGUCUGACCGAGCAACGCCGCGUGAGUGAAGAAGGUUUUCGGAUCGUAAAACUCUGUUGUUAGAGAAGAAUGUUGAUUAGAGUGGAAAAUUAAUCAAGUGACGGUAUCUAACCAGAAAGGGACGGCUAACUACGUG
rnacentral:rRNA from 1 species